rfam:Myotis davidii contig192471, whole genome shotgun sequence.
GGCGGUUCUUGAGUGAUGCACCCCAGAAUCAGGUUCCCUCCUCUCUGGUUUCAGGUGCAUCACCUGAGAACCGCA